rnacentral:lncRNA from 1 species
UUGCUCGUCACCGUCACGCGUGGAGUAUAGCGCCGCUGUUCCACCGUCUGGGAAUAACCCUGCUAAAGAACAAUUUAAACACAUAUUGCCUCAUGAAACCAUAUUUACCUGUGCAUCUGUAUCUUUUUGAUCCUGAGACACUUUUGUUAUCUUCACUGUUUUGGCAUGUAGGCUCAGUGUUUCCCCUACCAUUGUACAGGCCUGGUGGGCCGCUAGGCCAAGGAGACCUACCGCCAGGCCAAAAAAAAAAUCAAUACGCCAAAAAUAAGCCACCUAUCAAUUCAUUCAUAAAUCAAUAAUCAUUUACAUUAGGAGCGCCUCUGUGCAGUGCAACGCGAGUCAACCUGCUUCGUUGCCUAGUAACGAUGCAAGCUGCUGAGAGCACGGGCAUAUAUUCUGGGAUGUUUAAGACUCCGGAGCCAAGGAAAAUAGAUGAAGGGAGAGUAACAGAGGCAACUCCAGAAAAAAUGACAGGUGCAGGUGAGACGGAAGAAAGGGGGGCAGAUUGCAGUGGAGAGGGGGGCUGCUCGAGGACCGUUACUGCCCCUGACACCGGUCCGACUGCCGACCCCUGUCCGGUGGGUGACUGUGGGCCCGGUCCGACUGCCGACCCCCGUCUCAAAGGGUGACCGCGGGUCCGGACCGACUGGUAACGUUGACCCAGCAAAAAAAAUACAGCUAAACACAGAACAUCUGGCUGGGAUCCCGAAUGGCUUAAUAACCAUAACUACAGCCCUUGGUUAUACCACACUCCCCAUGGUGAGUUUACAAUUUGUUGUUUAGCUUAUACUUUUGUUCUGAUUGAGGAGCUUCUCUCUCUCUUUUUUUUUUUGGUAAGCAAUAAUGAUGAAAAUAACACAGACAAUAGGCUAGUUUUCCCAGGCAUUGUCAAAAGUAUGUAACUCUAUUAUAAUAAAAUGAAUAAAAAACGUAUGUGUUUGUUAAAAGAAAUAUUUAUAACUGAUAGAAUCUCAAUUAUGUGUAGGGAUGUUUUGUCGCUUAUGCCGUCAGCAUAAGCAGCCCGUUAAAAGAGGACCAUAUCAGAGGGUUUUCAUUGAGAUCCCUUCUGCAAUGUACAGAAAAGAUGUGCUUGAUGCUCAUGUGGGUUCAGACCACCACGCUGCAGCCUUUCAGGCCCAUGCAACUUUGAUUAAAGGUUAGAUUAAGCCUAAUGAUUUCAUUUAAGUGAUAUCAUUCAGCAAUAUAGGCCUACAAUGAUUUUUAAUGUAAAUGUUUGUUAUUGCUGUAUUUCGCGUCUCGUCUGAAAAAAAAUCUAGGGGAAACACUGAGGCUCCUGGGGUUUGGAAGUUUUUCUGGUGGACUGAAGUACUUUGAAUUGGACUUGGCCUUGGACUGACCAGUAGAGCUGUCGCGUUUGUUCCACUGUUCUUCGUGGUCAUCAUCUGGUCUGCAAGAACUUGUUAAGUUUUUAUCCAGAAUCUGCACUGGCAGAUUAUGUUGCCCAAUGUGCUCUACAUAUCUUCCUUGCAUUGAGGCAAACAUUUUGGAUAUGAACUCGGC